rnacentral:rRNA from 1 species
UACGUAGGGUGCGAGCGUUAAUCGGAAUUACCGGGCGUAAAGCGUGCGCAGGCGGUUUUUGUAAGCCAGAUGUGAAAUCCCCGGGCUCAACCUGGGAAUGGCAUUUGGGACUGCAAGGCUGGAGUACGGCAGAGGAGACUGGAAUUCCUGGUGUAGCAGUGAAAUGCGUAGAUAUCAGGAGGAAUACCGAUGGCGAAGGCAGGUCUCUGGGCUGAUACUGACGCUCAUGCACGAAAGCGUGGGGAGCAAACAGG